UGGUAUUCCAAAAGCAACGUUUGAAUGGUCUUUAGAAAAUGCAACCAAUGGCAACAAGACCGAUGACAAACUUGUUGCAAAUGAUAAUGGCGUUAGCCUCGACCAUCAAUUUCAAAAUGGUACAACUGUCGGUUAUAUUGCAUACAAAGCCAAGCCUUCUGAAAGCGAAAUGAGACUAUAUUGUGUUGCAAGGACUGCAGUUAAUGAACUUAAAGCAAGUAAUUCUGUGCUGCUGGCUAUAACUGGCAUCCAGACACGCCUUAUAACAUUCAGGUAAAGGACGUUACGAAUAAUGAAGUGACCUUCACAUGAGAUCAGCUUUACACUGGAGUUGCCAUAGAACUUCGAGAAAAUGCAAACAAAUGGAAGACAUAUGAAAUAGCAGAGUUCAUCAGAAAUAACACAGAUAUGGGAGCUACCUUGAAUAAUCUAAAUGCAUCAAUGCGUUGCAAAUUUGGUGUACAAUGUGUUGGGCCGAAGCAAAACUUCUGAUCAGAUAAACUUUCAAACACUUGAACAAAAUGAGAAAGGCACAUUUAUCUCAUUUUGGCAAGCUGCACUGCUUGGUGGAAUUUUCGGAGCGUUGAUACUAGAUGUGGCGCUCGGGUGUGGUGCUACGUGCUUUGUGUUAAACUUCGCCUGGUAGAG